CUGACUGCCAGUGGAGAAGAAUCUUUACUGGAGAUCUCUUUUCUCAAGUUUUAUGGUGAGCCUAGGAUACAGAGAAAAGAGCUUACACAGAAGACCCAGAAAAGAUAAGACAGCGAUGUUGAUGGGUACUACACUGAGGCUUUUUUGCUUGUGUGAUGAGUGCAGAGAAUACUCAUGGCCUCGGUCUCUGGCUGUCUGACCCGCAGAGUUGUAUGGCUGAAGGCAGAUGUAGACCUCUUGGGAUGCUACAGCUAUCAUGGCAAGAAAUUUUUCCAGUCAGAUAUUCGAAUGAGAUCUGAGAGCUCAAUGAAAUGCUGUUAUACUUAUUUUGCAAAUGGAAAACCACAACCUCAAGAAACUACAGCCAAGCAAGAUCAGAAAGUACUUCACACAGAGGACUAGAAGCAACCUUUCUAAGAGGAUAAAGUCAAGAAGUGAAGUCAGAAUUGUGUGUUCCUGAGUUUGUUUGUUUUUUUUAAGUCAUGAUGCAGCUGCCAGGAUGAUGAGUUAUUGGCUGCCAAUGCAGUUGUUGUACAGGACUGGUUAGCUGCAUACCACAUGGCGGAAUUAACACCCAACUGUAACUCCCUGAACAGGUGUGCAAAUGCACUUUCCAACCCACCAGCCUGUUAGGAGCUGCAGCCACCACAAGGCCUUCCCUCAGCCUCCUCUGCAACGGAAUGAACAAAGCCAGGGACCUCAGCUGCUCCUCAUACUUCUUGUUCUCCAGACUCUUCACCAUCCUGGUUGUUCUCCUUUGGAACUGCUCUACAUGUUUUAUGUCUUUCCUAUAUUGUGGCACCCCAAAAUUUGCCAGCAAGGUGAACACCUGGAGUGGUAUUCACUUGUCAUUUGAAUGACCAUCUCAUGGCUAGCUUAAAGGUUUUCUUUCUUUUGUCUUACUUCCUCAGCAGCUCCUUCCCACUGCCUCAGCAGGUGAGGAAUUGCAGUGAAUAGGCCAGAAGCACAUCUUGUGGGAAGAUAAGAGGACAACUGCUGCUGAUACUGCUGCUGCAAAAUGAAGGCAUUAUUUCUGUGCCCUCUUUCACUUGUUCUCUCAGCUUCUGGUUCCUGAACCUUGUGGUUAUGAGCUGCCUCACCUGUGUCAUGUGCAGCCCAUUUUCCUCCCUAUUUUGUUCCACUGGAACUCAUUUGGCUCUUCACUGGGGUGGUUUAACUCACUAAGUCUGUAUAAAACUGCUGCUGUUCUUUAAUCAACUUCAUUUUAUGCUGAGCUGGUGAGUUAGUGCUUACAACAGUGUUGGAUAUCAGUACUACCCUGAUAGGAAGCAUCUUUGACAUACUGGUUAUGCAUUAACAUUGAACUUAAAAGUGUAUUCAAUGACUGGAGAGACUCUUCCCUCACAUGUGUAACAAGGAACUUCAAUAAAUGGCUAAAUAAGUUACGCACCUUCUGAAAAGGCAGAUUUAUUAGAAAUAAUAUUCACAAGUUGAAGCAGUCAUACUCGCAAGCAGACCACAGCGAGGAUCGGUUUAAUUAUCUGUUUUCAGAGCCUUUCACUUCCCUGAACCAGAGGACCCCAAUCUGGGGCAGAUUUAAGUUGUGAGAGGGCUAUGGUACACCAUGCACAUUAGGACUGUGGAAUUACUGAAUUAAUGGGUAAAAGAGAAGGAAAAGACAUAGGCACAAUUAAAGGUGCAGUAAUCUCAGACUCCUGGGAUUAAUAGACAUUAUGUUUGUGACAGACUUCAAAAUAGGGACAAUAGUUUCUUAAGGUCCAUUCCCUGCUUUCCUUUAGAAGAAAGAAUGGAAAUGACGGGAGAACACUGAGGCUCUAAUCACUGAAAUAUGCUGAAAUAACCAGUACUGAUGCAGCUCCUGUGGACAGUGUUUUAUUUGUCAUAUAUUCUGGAGUUAUGAAGUGCAAAACAGUCUUCACACUUUAAGAAAUGCACUUACUGUGGCAUGGGAUCGUACAGCGUCUGGGAAAAGCACUGGACCUUGAAUCAGGGUCUCCUGGAAGGCUGCCCAAGUGAAGGUUAUGAAACUGUCAGAAAAAAAAAAAAAAGGAGGAAAACAGCUUGGGAGAAUGAGUAGAUCAGAAGGACAAAAUAUUUUUGCCUGAUCUAUGGGAAUAAGCUCUGCUUUUUCUCCAACGUGUACGUAAGAUCUGAGGAUGUGCAUAGUCCAGUGCUGAAGCCAAACAAGUAUAUUCUGCUAUAAAAAAAAGACAGUAGCAGCAGCAGCUGUCUUGGAGUGUAGGCAGUGUGAGCUCAUAUCUGAUCUCAAAAGGCUGAAGGAAAGGAACAUGGGAGUAGUAACAGUGUUUCUGCAGUCUGCAGACACUUAGGUCUGAAUGUGUUUUCCUGUGUGUGCUGGAAAGAUGAACUCUGAUGUUGGAAGAGAGACUUAGGAUCCAUGAGAUGAAGGUUGGCCCAGUGUUUUUGAGACCUUAGAGAGAUUUGAGAAAGAAAACCGCAUUUUGGUCCCUUGAACUUGAUUCUAGUGUUAGACCAGAAUUAUUUUUCCAUAUGCACGCAGCCUUUAUUGCAGAGACCUGCAGAGAAAUGAGAAAGGUCUAGCAGCUGGCUCCAUCGCCCACGUGCUGUUAAAAUAAGAACAAUGGGAUGGUAUUAGGACAGGGGAGGGAGCCAGCAAAGGUUACUCCUCUCCUUUCUGUUUUUGUCCUCUUUGUCUGAGCAAAAAAGAGAAAACUCUGUCUUCCAGGAUGAACAUGGAUUGUUCCUGGGAGAA